rnacentral:rRNA from 1 species
UCAGGAUGAACGCUGGCGGCGUGCUAACACAUGCAAGUCGAACGAAGCCAAAAGGAAGCUUGCUUCUUGAAGCUUAGUGGCGGACGGGUGAGUAACGCGUGAGUAACCUGCCCUUAAGUGGGGAAUAACAACAGAGAAAUCUGUGCUAAUACCGCAUAAUGUCGGAGAGGCCGCAUGACUUUCCGACCAAAGGAUUUAUUCGCUUAAGGAUGGACUCGCGUCCGAUUAGCUAGUUGGUGAGGUAACGGCCCACCAAGGCGACGAUCGGUAGCCGAACUGAGAGGUUGAUCGGCCACAUUGGGACUGAGACACGGCCCAGACUCCUACGGGAGGCAGCAGUGGGGAAUAUUGGGCAAUGGGCGAAAAAGCCUGACCCAGCAACGCCGCGUGAAGGAAGACGGUCUUCGGAUUGUAAACUUCUUUGAUUGGGGAAGAACAAAAUGACCUACCCAAAGAACAAGUCACGGCUAACUACGUGCCAGCAGCGGC